UACGAAGGGGGCUAGCGUUGCUCGGAAUCACUGGGCGUAAAGGGUGCGUAGGCGGGUCUUUAAGUCAGGGGUGAAAUCCUGGAGCUCAACUCCAGAACUGCCUUUGAUACUGAAGAUCUUGAGUUCGGGAGAGGUGAGUGGAACUGCGAGUGUAGAGGUGAAAUUCGUAGAUAUUCGCAAGAACACCGGUGGCGAAGGCGGGUCUCUGGGCCGAUACUGACGCUGAGGAGCGAAAGCGUGGGGAGCGAACAGG
rnacentral:rRNA from 1 species